GAUGAACGCUGGCGGCGUGCCUAAUACAUGCAAGUCGAGCGAACAGACGAGGAGCUUGCUCCUCUGACGUUAGCGGCGGACGGGUGAGUAACACGUGGAUAACCUACCUAUAAGACUGGGAUAACUUCGGGAAACCGGAGCUAAUACCGGAUAAUAUAUUGAACCGCAUGGUUCAAUAGUGAAAGACGGUUUUGCUGUCACUCAUAGAUGGAUCCGCGCCGCAUUAGCUAGUUGGUAAGGUAACGGCUUACCAAGGCAACGAUGCGUAGCCGCCCUGAGAGGGUGAUCGGCCACACUGGAACUGAGACACGGUCCAGACUCCUACGGGAGGCAGCAGUAGGGAAUCUUCCGCAAUGGGCGAAAGCCUGACGGAGCAACGCCGCGUGAGUGAUGAAGGUCUUCGGAUCGUAAAACUCUGUUAUUAGGGAAGAACAAAUGUGUAAGUAACUAUGCACGUCUUGACGGUACCUAAUCAGAAAGCCACGGCUAACUACGUG
rnacentral:rRNA from 1 species